rnacentral:rRNA from 1 species
UACCCGCUGAAUUAAGCAUAUAAUUAAGCGGAGGAAAAGAAAAUAACUAUGAUUCCCUCAGUAAGGGCGACUGAAGCGGGAACAGCUCAUUCUGUGAAUCUCUGCUUCGGCAGCGAGUUGUGGAAAGGCAUGUCAGCUAAGCUACUGGUCUAAGUCUCUUGGAAAAGAGCGCUUGAAAGGGUGACAGCCCCGUCUUUGACUGGUUAGCUGUGGCUUUAGCACAUGUUUUAUACGAGUCGAGUUGCUUGGGAUUGCAGCUCUAAGUGGGUGGUAAAUUCCAUCUAAAGCUAAAUAUUGGUGGGACACCGAUAGCGUACAAGUACCGUGAGGGAAAGAUGCAAAGAACUUUGAAAAGAGAGUUAAAGAGUACCUGAAAUUGCUGAAAUGGAAGCGAAGGAAACCAGUGCCAUUCUUCACUAUUUUUCUGUUCCUACUUGUGGGAAUAGCGCUGUGGUGUUGAAUAGGCCAGCGUGAGUUUGUACCGGGGGAUAACACUCUUCAGAAGGCAGCUAGAUUUCCUAGCGAUUGCUGUUGAGCUGUGCUCUGGUACAGACUGAGGCUAGUCACUUGUGCUCGUGACGCUGGCGAAAUGGUUUUCUUCACCCCGUCUUGAAACACGGACCAAGGA